GAUGAAGAACGUAGCGAAAUGCGAUAAGUAAUGUGAAUUGCAGAAUUCAGUGAAUCAUCGAAUCUUUGAACGCACAUUGCGCCCGCCAGUAUUCUGGCGGGCAUGCCUGUCCGAGCGUCAUUUCAACCCUCAGGCCCUGGUUGCCUGGUGUUGGGGCGCCGCGCACCCUCUGCGGGCGCGGGCCCCGAAAGUCAGUGGCGGGCUCGCCAGGACUCCGAGCGCAGUAAUUUUCUCUCGCUGUGGAGCGCCUGGUGGGUUACCAGCCGUAAAACACCCCAAAUUCCAAAGGUUGACCUCGGAUCAGGUAGGAAUACCCGCUGAACUUAAGCAUAUCAAUAAGCGGAGGA
rnacentral:misc_RNA from 1 species